GAUAAACGCUGGCGGCGUGCAUGAGACAUGCAAGUCGAACGAGUACCGGGCUUGCUCGGUGCUAGUGGCGGACGGCUGAGUAACGCGUAGGUGACCUGCCCCGAAGUGGGGAAUAACUGCCCGAAAGGGUGGCUAAUACCGCAUGUGGUCGCACCUUCAUUGGUGCGAGUAAAGCCGCAAGGCGCUUCGGGAGGGGCCUGCGUCCGAUUAGCUCGUUGGUGGGGUAAUGGCCUACCAAGGCGACGAUCGGUAGGUGGUCUGAGAGGACGAUCACCCAGACUGGGACUGAGCCACGGCCCAGACUCCUACGGGAGGCAGCAGUGGGGAAUGUUGGACAAUGGGCGCAAGCCUGAUCCAGCAAUGCCGCGUGCAGGAAGAAGGCCUUCGGGUUGUAAACUGCUUUUGUACGGAGCGAAAAGGCUCCCUCUAAUACAGGGGGCUCAUGACGGUACCGUAAGAAUAAGCACCGGCUAA
rnacentral:rRNA from 1 species